rnacentral:rRNA from 1 species
UACGUAUGUCGCAAGCGUUAUCCGGAAUUAUUGGGCAUAAAGGGCAUCUAGGCGGCCAGGCAAGUCUGGGGUGAAAACCUGCGGCUCAACCGCAGGCCUGCCCUGGAAACUGCGUGGCUAGAGUGCUGGAGAGGUGGACGGAACUGCACGAGUAGAGGUGAAAUUCGUAGAUAUGUGCAGGAAUGCCGAUGAUGAAGAUAGUUCACUGGACGGCAACUGACGCUGAAGUGCGAAAGCCGGGGGAGCGAACAGG